ACAAAUAUCUGCACCAUUAAUUGUUCAGUUCAGAUUCUAAUCUGCUUAGUAAGUCAUGUUGCCAAAGGUGCUGAUAGUCGCAGGUCUGCUGCUGAUAUCACUGCAGUACAUCUAUUCGUCACCGAAAGACAUUAAAGCAUCCUCCGACUUGGACGCUCACGUGGACGACGUCUCCGUUAAUGGCCGUUUAAUUCAGGUGCCUUGCAGUUCCGGUAAAAGGAAUCGCCUGCGUUGCAGAGAAAGCUUCUCCGUACGCCAGUGACCACUAUUUUUAACAAAACAAGACGUAAUUUUAAACUGAUAACGUUAUAAAUAAAUACUAAAACGUCUAAUAGCAUCAGUGUUCUGUGAUAACCCGCUACAAUGCUCAGGUUUUUGUUUUAUCUGUUUCUGCUUAGUGUAUUAGUUUGUGUUGGGCAGUGUGAUAACAGUAAGCCCAAAAUUUCUACUGGAACUAAUCAUCAAGCAAGCAUUAUUAGGACACCAUGCAACCAAGGGCGUCGAACUGCAACAGGUUGUAGAUCGAGUUUUACAGUUCAAAGGGUAUAACCAACAUAACAAGAUGACACAGCAUCCACAUCAAUAAACUGCGUAAUAUUUCUUUCUGUAUUGUCUUUAUCUAAUAAAAUAAUUUGCUAUUUCUGUUCAAUUAAA